GCUACACCUGGCAUACUGGGAGUUGUCGUCUUUGAUUAGCUUCCAGUUUUUUAAUUGCAGGGCGACCGGAUUACAAUCACAGCCAGCAUGAACAUGGGGCGGCGCACAGUCCUGAAGAGGAAAGCCGGGCUGUGUUGACCUCGCUGUGCAUGCUGGGAGUUGUAGUCUCUUCACUGCUCCCGCCCGUUGUUUCAGGCACUUCGGGACUACAAUCCCAGCAUGACCCGGGCUCGGGGACGGGGCGCAGUUCUCGUGGGAGGAGCGGGGCGGUGAGAGCCUGGCUAGGCAGGCUGGAAACAGUAGCUCUUAACGGUCCCCCGCCCGUUGGUGGCAAGGCGGCUGGACUGGAAUCCCAGCAGGCGACAUGCGAGGAGGCGGGCAGCCCAGGAGGGUUGGACACGGCAAUGUGGACCUCGCCGCUUCCACAACGAUGCUGGCUACUGAUCGCGUGCACUUCCUUGCCAAAGAAAAUUUGUGCUGUGCACUAACAUGCAAUACAAAUACUGAUGAAAAUAAAACUAUUGCCCUCCUACCAAAUGAGAAAUUAAUGUUAUGACUGGAUGAAGACAAUUGUGAAGAAACUGCACUUUGAGGUUGUCUAUCUCUGUAUUCUGAUGGAAAAGCGUGGAGUUUAGAAGCACUGCUCACUCCUUCAGUUUCUAACAAGUUUGAGACUAUGGUUAGGUGGUGAGGAAGGCAGGCUCAGCACCCAAGCCUUGGGGAGACGCAGAAAGGGCCCAUCCCAGGCACUCAGGUGGAGGUGGUCUGUCCUAGAGAACGUUCCAUGUGGAUUUGAGAAGAAUAUAUAUUCUCAUGUUGGAUGCAGUGCUGUGCAUAUGUUUGUUAGGUUUAGUUGUUUUAUGUUGUUGUUCAUGUUUUCUAUUUUUUAUCUUCUGUCUACUUGUUCUAUCCAUUAAUAUAAGUGAAGCAUUAAAGUCUCCAACUAUUACUGUUGAAUUAUCUAUUUCUCCCUUUAUUUCUGUCAUUUUUGCUUCAUGUAUUUCUGUGCUUAUUUGAUAACUGCAUAUAUGUGAAUAAUUUUUUUAUAUUUUCCUGAUGAGUUUACCCUUUGCCAAUACAAAAUGUCUUUAUCAGUAUAUAUUUUUUUGUUUUGUUUCAUUUUGUUUUUUGAGACAAGAGUCUUGCUCUGUCACCCAGGCUGGAGUGCAGUGGCACAAUCUUGGCUCACUGCAACCUCCGCCUCCUGGUUCAAGUGAUUCUCCUGUCUCAGCCUCUUGAGUAGCUGGAAUUACAGAUACCUGCCACCAUGCCUGGCUAAUUUUUGUAUUUUUAGUAGAGACAGGGUUUCACCAUGUUGGCCAGGCUGGUCUUGAACUCCUGACCUCAAGUGAUCCACCUGCCUUGGCAUCCCAAAGUGCUGGGAUCACAGGCAUGAG
rnacentral:lncRNA from 1 species